GACGAACGCUGGCGGCGUGCUUAACACAUGCAAGUCGAGCGAUGAAGCACCUUCGGGUGUGGAUUAGCGGCGAACGGGUGAGGAACACGUGAGGAAUCUGCCUUCCACUCUGGGAUAACUCCGGGAAACCGGGGCUAAUACCGGAUACUUUCAACUGGCGGCAUCGCCGGUUGAAGAAAGUUUUUCGGUGGAAGAUGACCUCGCGGCCUAUCAGCUUGUUGGUGAGGUAAUGGCUCACCAAGGCGAAGAAGGGUAGCCGGCCUGAGAGGGCGGCCGGCGCCACUGGGAAUGGGACGCGGCCCAGACUCCGACGGGAGGCAGCAGUGGGGGAUAUUGGGCAAUGGAGGAAACUCUGACCCAGCGACGCCGCGUGAGGGAUGAAGGCCUUCGGGUUGUAAACCUCUUUCAGCAGGGAAUAAGCGAAAGUGAAGGUACCUGCAGAAGAAGCACCGGCUAACUAUGUGCCAGCAGCCGCCGUAA
rnacentral:rRNA from 1 species